UGGGAUUACAGACAUGAGCCAUCGCGCCUGGCCACCAGAUGUCCGUCUCCCAGGACCAAGUCUGUGGAUGUGGGGACGGAGCUGAAAGGCAGGUGCCUUGCUGCACUCAGGUGCACGACGCCUCCCACCCCCAUGAUGAAGGCUUUGUUCCCAGCGGCUUCAGCUGCCUGAGUCCUUCUUCGCUCGCACUGGGCUCCUUUACGUGAAGAGAUCUCCGGUGGCCUCAACAGUAAGCCAGUCACACAGCGUUGUCUCCAGCCUGGUUCCUGACACCUUCAGGAUCUGCUUCCCAGGUGGUCAUGCAUCUCCAGGCAGCAGCUAAGGCCAUAAGAAUGAAAGAGAGAAAGAUGGAAGCAGACAGUGGAAUUCCACAAAAGGAUGAGGAACACAUAAAUCAUAGAGCAGGCAUCCAUUUAUGUGAGGAUGGACGGCAAUUGGAUUAAUGUUCAGAAACGGUGACACAAGCACAAACUGAGACACUAUGAUGGCCCAACCAGAGGUU